rnacentral:rRNA from 1 species
AUACGAGGGGUGCAAGCGUUAAUCGGAAUUACUGGGCGUAAAGCGUUCGUAGGCGGUUUGUUAAGCAAGAUGUGAAAGCCCAGGGCUCAACCUUGGAACUGCAUUUUGAACUGGCAAACUAGAGUACUGUAGAGGGUGGUGGAAUUUCCAGUGUAGCGGUGAAAUGCGUAGAGAUUGGAAGGAACAUCAGUGGCGAAGGCGGCCACCUGGACAGAUACUGACGCUGAGGAACGAAAGCGUGGGGAGCGAACAGGAUUAGAAACCCUAGUAGUCC